GACGAACGCUGGCGGCGUGCCUAACACAUGCAAGUCGAACGGAAGGGCCGCCAUCUCGGCGGGGGUCCGCGAGUGGCGAACGGGUGAGUAAUACGUGGGUGACUUGCCCUGUAGUAUGAGAUAAGCUUAGGGAACCUGGUCCAAUAUCCGUUAGGACCAUGGAUUAGGGUCACAUUGGGACCAAACUAUUUUUUUGGAGCCUGAGGCGGUUGGGGCGGAUCAGGUAGUUGGUGGGGUCAUGGCCUACUAAGGCGACGAUGCGUAACUGGCCUGUGAGGAGGAUCAGGCACACGGGAACUGAGACACGGUCCAGACUCCUACGGGAGGCAGCAGUGGGGAAUAUUGGACAAUGGGCGAAAGCCUGAUCCAGCCAUGCCGCGUGUGUGAAGAAGGUCUUCGGAUUGUAAAGCAAUUUAAGUUGGGAGGAAGGGCAGUAAGUUAAUACCUUGCUGUUUGGACGUUACCAACAGAAUAAGCACCGGCUAACUUCGUG
rnacentral:rRNA from 1 species